GUGCCAGCCGCCGCGGUAAUACGUAGGUGGCAAGCGUUGUCCGGAAUUACUGGGCGUAAAGGGUGCGCAGGCGGACAUUUAAGUGAGAUGUGAAAGACCCGGGCUUAACUUGGGCAGUGCAUUUCAAACUGGAUGUCUGGAGUGCAGGAGAGGAGAACGGAAUUCCUAGUGUAGCGGUGAAAUGAGUAGAGAUUAGGAAUAAAACCAGUGACGAAGGCGGUUCUCUGGACUGUA
rnacentral:rRNA from 1 species